GCUCUGAAACGAAAACGACAAAACGGGGGCGUGAGAACUAUUAAAAAAAAAUAGUUCCCAGUGGGCAAUUACUGACUAUAGUGAACUGUGCCACGAGGCCCAAAAGCUACAAAAAGAAGGUCAGUGUACGAGUGUAAUAAAAGCAGUAAAUGCAACUGAUAAUUAAACAUGAAUGCUUACUACCAUAGGCUACUUCUACUUAGCAUGAAUUUGGCAUAAGUAAGAAAGCUAUUUUAAUACGUAUGUACCAAUACCUCAAAAGCGCAAUGUCCACAAGCUAAAUAGUAAAAUGUCAAUGUUUACUAUUCUAGUCAAUAUACUAAGUCAUCAUCUGUCCACAUGUCAUAGUGAAGUACCCAAAGUCAAAUCUGAAGAGACCCACCCGAAGGCUGUCUAAGGCCCUGAGACCCACCCGUAGGCUGUCUGGCCGGUGCCGAGCCUAAUGGCCCCGUGGUAGUCAUCAUCCCCACCCUAGGAAUGAGCCUGUCCCACGGCAAUCCACUUCGGCGCCCAAUCCCGCACGGCGAAUAUGAAUCACAAUGGCUAUCUCCGGAGUGCUGGCUUAUAGGGAGCGACCCUCACAAGCAUGUGCGAAUGAGCACAAUGUUAGGUAGUCACGUGUCCUGUCACAAGUACCAAGUCCUCAUGUCUAAUAGCAUAGAAUAUGUCACAUCUCUCAUAGGCCUAUCUCUAUGUCAUCAUGUCUCUAACAUGGAAUAUAGCAGAUGUACAACGGCCUAAUGCUAUGUCUUUAUGUUGCAGUUUCAUAGUUCACUAGUUUCAAGUGCCCCUUGAUGACACUCUUAUUCUCUAUGUCAAGCAUGAUAGAUAUAUUCUCAAGUACACAUUUCUAAUCAUUAUCCUCAUAGGUGACAUGUUCUCAACUUGCAAAGAUAAGCACUUUUCCAUAUGCAUGCAUUCUACUCAUAUAGCUCUACUAUAUAGUGAAAUUAUCAUGAUACACAGGACAUGCGUUUUAAAUGUUCUAAAAUUCAUAUAAAUUCCAUUUAGCAUAGAAAUGCAUUUACUUCCAUAAAAAGACAAGUAUUUUACUCAUAAGGGCCAUUUUGCCCCGAUUCAAGAAGCCAAACCAAUCGAUUUUUUGAACUCUUCGUUUCGCCGAACGAAGGUGUCCACAAGCCUCCUAGCACCCUAAGGAUGUAGGAAUAAGGGUUACUUGAAUGAAACGAACAACCAAUAGCUCAAACAUUAACCAUCUCUUACUAUGGGCAAAAAUUCACCUCUUAUGGCAAAUCUCAUCACAAGCUCAAAAAAGAGGCUAGAACCCUUCCAAUCCAAUCUAGAGGAAGGUUCUAAUCCAAGGAAUCAAGCCUCAAAAGCCCUAAAACGAAAAUGCCCAAAUAAACCCUAAAUUUCCAUUUCUAGGGUUUGAUCUCACAAAAACCUCAAAUUAAGGAUCAAAGGGAGAAAUCAAGUUUCUAACCUAUCAAGAAGCUCCAAACUUAGCUCAAAUCCAAGUGAUGUUGAAGAUCUCCACAGCCACUAGCUCCU
rnacentral:lncRNA from 1 species